rnacentral:misc_RNA from 1 species
GAUGAAGAACGUAGCGAAAUGCGAUAAGUAAUGUGAAUUGCAGAAUUCAGUGAAUCAUCGAAUCUUUGAACGCACAUUGCGCCCCCUGGUAUUCCGGGGGGCAUGCCUGUUCGAGCGUCAUUUCACCACUCAAGCCUCGCUUGGUAUUGGGCAACGCGGUCCGCCGCGUGCCUCAAAUCGACCGGCUGGGUCUUCUGUCCCCUAAGCGUUGUGGAAACUAUUCGCUAAAGGGUGUUCGGGAGGCUACGCCGUAAAACAACCCCAUCUCUAAGGUUGACCUCGGAUCAGGUAGGGAUACCCGCUGAACUUAAGCAUAUCAAUAAGCGGAGGA